UUUCUUCUCCCUAGGCAUAAUGUUAGCCAUUGAUAUUGUUGUAUUAUCAUAAUUAUUUAGUCGAAAAGCAUCAUGACUACUUGUAAAUCUACAAUUAUCUCAAUAAAAAAACGUCAAUGAAAAAAAGCAUCACAAACCAAGAGACAAAGGAUAGGUUAACCAAUGAAUAACACAGGGAAAAUGGAAGUGAGAAUAAGCCAGUUUUGGAAACAGGAUGUGAGAAGCAUGGUUUUAUUACCAUCUGUUUCAUUUAAGAAACCAAUAAGACUGGAAGGAUAGGGUUAAAUUAUUCAAAGUUUUGAAAGCUGCAGAAAGGACUUGAGAAGUCAUCACAGAAGGCAGGACUCACCAAGCUUCUUGAGCCAGGAAUUAAAUAACAUGAUGUGAAAUGCUGCUUCUAAGUUGUGUGUUAAACUUAGAAAGAUCUUCUCUUUGAAGCUGUUA
rnacentral:lncRNA from 1 species